UGAACGCUGGCGGCGUGCCUCAUACAUGCAAGUCGCGCGAACAGACGAGGAGCUUGCUCCUCUGACGUUAGCGGCGGACGGGUGAGUAACACGUGGAUAACCUACCUAUAAGACUGGGAUAACUUCGGGAAACCGGAGCUAAUACCGGAUAAUAUAUUGAACCGCAUGGUUCAAUAGUGAAAGACGGUUUUGCUGUCACUUAUAGAUGGAUCCGCGCCGCAUUAGCUAGUUGGUAAGGUAACGGCUUACCAAGGCAACGAUGCGUAGCCGACCUGAGAGGGUGAUCGGCCACACUGGAACUGAGACACGGUCCAGACUCCUACGGGAGGCAGCAGUAGGGAAUCUUCCGCAAUGGGCGAAAGCCUGACGGAGCAACGCCGCGUGAGUGAUGAAGGUCUUCGGAUCGUAAAACUCUGUUAUUAGGGAAGAACAAAUGUGUAAGUAACUAUGCACGUCUUGACGGUACCUAAUCAGAAAGCCACGGCUAACUACGUG
rnacentral:rRNA from 1 species